rnacentral:rRNA from 1 species
GACGAACGCUGGCGGCGUGCCUAACACAUGCAAGUCGAGCGGGGAGAGAUUUUCGGAUUUCUCUUUAGCGGCGGACGGGUGAGUAACACGUGGGUAACCUGCCUCAAAGAGGGGGAUAGCCUUCCGAAAGGAGGAUUAAUACCGCAUAAUAUCAGGAAGCUGCAUGGCAUUCUGAUUAAAGGAGCAAUCCGCUUUGAGAUGGACCCGCGGCGCAUUAGCUAGUUGGUGAGGUAACGGCCCACCAAGGCGACGAUGCGUAGCCGACCUGAGAGGGUGAUCGGCCACAUUGGAACUGAGACACGGUCCAGACUCCUACGGGAGGCAGCAGUGGGGAAUAUUGCACAAUGGGGGAAACCCUGAUGCAGCAACGCCGCGUGAGUGAUGAAGGCCUUCGGGUCGUAAAGCUCUUUGAUCAGGGACGAUAAUGACGGUACCUGAAAAACAAGCCACGGCUAACUACGUGCCAGCAGCCGCGGUAACAC